AGCACAAUAAAUGUUCAUGAAUUAAACUCACUUGUUUAUAAAAACUCUUAAAAUGGGUUAGGAAAAGAGAAAUCAAACUUAAGGACCAUACUUUGCAAAAACUGCUCCUGAAACAAAACAAUACAGGAAAAUUGGGGUGGGGUGGGGGGGAGGAAUAUAGAGACAGACACCAACAAGAAAUGCUAAUAAAAUUUAAAGAAAGCAGUAGAUUUUAAAAACAAGGAAAAAAGUAUUUUAAAGGAUAAGAUAUAGUCAUAUUCAUAAAAGAAACCAAUUAAAAAGACAGUUAAGAACCUUUAUAUACCAAAUCUUAGACUGAAAACAUGUAGAACCAAAUGGAGAACAAAAGAGAAAACCUGAAAAAAAGCAAACAAUAUAUUCUGAUAACAAAUACAACACCCUUUUAAUAAGUACCCAUGAAAUGGUCAUUAAAAAUAUAAAAAAUAUAGUCUUUCUGAAGAGAGCAUCCACCAAUUGCAAAAAGUAGAAAUGCAAAUAUUUCUGGUCAUAAUCCAAUCACACUAGAAACAACAAAACUAGCAAGUAAAAUUGCUUUAAAUUUUGAGUUGAGUAAAUACAUGCCAAAAUGUCAGGGUUAUCAAGAAAAUAAUAGUCAAAACAAUAUACAUAAUAAAUUUUAAGAUAUGGCUAAGAGAAAAAGUUAUAGCUUUAAUUAUUUUCAGGAAACAAGAUUGAAUAUAAUGCAUCCAACUCAAGUUAAAAACAAACCCAAGAAGCAGAAAGAAGGAAUUAAUAAAGAUAAAAGUAGAAAUAAAUGACUUUAAAAGUGAAUCAAUAAAUCCAAGGCAUGGUUCUAUGAAAAAAUAACAAACUACUAGUUAAUCUAAUUUUAAAAAAUUUAAAAUGGAAAAGAGAGAUAAUUUUCUAAAAAAAUAUUUCUUCAGGCUCAACUCUAUAAAUAAUUUGGAAAUCCAGAGGGAAUUAUUUAACACUGAUCCCAGAAGAGGAAGGAAAAACACACAGAUUAAUUAGCACAGAAGAAAUUUAUAAAACCACCAAUCAGGAAUAGAUAGUUUCAAUGAUCAAUACAACCCAUACAUUCUUUUUUCUUACUAGUGUAUUUUUAAGAAACACCAUAAGAUGGAACACUGACACUGUUACCAAUAAGUCAGACAAAAUUUUAGUGUUCCCAAAUUAUGGGGGUGGGGGGUAGAGGGGAAAAAAAUAGAAAUAGUACUAGGGAUUUAAAAAAGACAAUUUCAAAUGCAGAGAUCCUGGAAAGAUAAGAAAAUACAAUGUACAAUCUAUGUCAAUAAAACAAAGCCCAGAUACACUGAACAGUGUUCUGUGACAUGGCUGGGGAAAUCUUUUUCGUAAAGAGCC